rnacentral:rRNA from 1 species
GAGUUUGAUCCUGGCUCAGGAUGAACGCUAGCGGCAGGCCUAAUACAUGCAAGUCGAGGGGUAAGGUUUACUUCGGUAAACACACGACCGGCGCACGGGUGAGUAACGCGUAUGCAACCUACCUAUAACUGAGAGAUAGCCCCGAGAAAUCGGGAUUAAUACCUCAUAAUAAUACUUUUUGGCAUCAUUUAGUAUUUAAAGCUCCGGCGGUUAUAGAUGGGCAUGCGUGACAUUAGUUAGUUGGUGAGGUAACGGCUCACCAAGACUACGAUGUCUAGGGGUUCUGAGAGGAAGAUCCCCCACACUGGUACUGAGACACGGACCAGACUCCUACGGGAGGCAGCAGUAAGGAAUAUUGCGCAAUGGAGGCAACUCUGACGCAGCCAUGCCGCGUGAAGGAUGACGGCCUUAUGGGUUGUAAACUUCUUUUGUUAGGGAAUAAACCUCCACUCGUGAGUGGAGCUGAAGGUACCUAAAGAAUAAGCACCGGCUAACUCCGUG